AAUGAACGCUGGCGGCGCGCCUAAUACAUGCAAGUCGAGCGAGAAGACGUAGCAAUACGUUUGUAAAGCGGCGAACGGGUGAGGAAUACAUGGGUAACCUACCCUCGAGUGGGGAAUAACUAGCCGAAAGGUUAGCUAAUACCGCGUACGCUUCUUGGACUUCGGUUCAGGGAGGAAAGCGAUACCGUGGGUAUCGCGCUCUUGGAUGGGCUCAUGUCCUAUCAGCUUGUUGGUGAGGUAACGGCUCACCAAGGCUUCGACGGGUAGCUGGUCUGAGAGGACGAUCAGCCACACUGGCACUGCGACACGGGCCAGACUCCUACGGGAGGCAGCAGUAAGGAAUAUUGCGCAAUGGGCGAAAGCCUGACGCAGCGACGCCGCGUGGGGGAUGAAGGUCUUCGGAUUGUAAACCCCUUUCGGGAGGGAAGAUGGAACGAGCAAUCGUUCGGACGGUACCUCCAGAAGCA
rnacentral:rRNA from 1 species